CCAGACGACAGUAGCUAGCGCUCGCUCGAGCGCGAUAGUAAUGAGCAUUCUUGUUAGCUACGAGGUAGCUAUGGUCUGCUGUUCUAGCUGAAAUAGUAUGACUCGGAGUCAAUGGGUGGAAAUAAUUUCUGAAAACAAUCUUCUCUCUUAGUGCUUGUCCAAGUGACUGCUGUACGCCUCACUGACUUGUGAUACUCAUCGAGGUGACCGUCCUACAUUGACCUGUGGUCUGUCCUGGGAGAGAGGAGGCUGUGUGCCUUGCCAGAAAAAUCCUUUCUUGAAAUACGACAAUUAUGACAACAACUUGAAAG